rnacentral:rRNA from 1 species
AAGCCCCGCAAGGGGUAAGUAGAGUGGCAAACGGGUGAGUAACACGUGGGUGACCUGCCUUCGAGUGGGGGAUAACGUCCCGAAAGGGACGCUAAUACCGCAUGAUAUCCUGCUCUUGGACGAGCGGAGAUCAAAGCUGGGGAUCGCAAGACCUGGCGCUUGGAGAGGGGCCCGCGUCUGAUUAGCUAGUUGGUGAGGUAACGGCUCACCAAGGCGACGAUCAGUAUCCGGCCUGAGAGGGCGGACGGACACACUGGGACUGAGACACGGGCCAGACUCCUACGGGAGGCAGCAGUGGGGAAUUGUUCGCAAUGGGCGCAAGCCUGACGACGCAACGCCGCGUGGAGGAUGAAGAUCUUCGGG